rnacentral:rRNA from 1 species
UACGUAGGGGGCAAGCGUUGUCCGGAUUUAUUGGGCGUAAAGGGCGUGUAGGCGGCCAAAUAGGUCGGUUGUGAAAACUGGAGGCUUAACCUCCAGACGUCGACCGAAACCAUUCGGCUAGAGUCCGGAAGAGGAGAGUGGAAUUCCUGGUGUAGCGGUGAAAUGCGCAGAUAUCAGGAGGAACACCCGUAGCGAAGGCGGCACUCUGGGCCGAUUCUGACACUGAGGAGCGAAAGCGUGGGGAGCGAACAGG